UUCCGGUUGAUCCUGCCGGAGGCGACCGCUAUUGGAGUUCGAUUAAGCCAUGCGAGUCGCGAGUCUUAGGGACUCGGCGUACCGCUCAGUAACACGUGGGUAACCUGCCCUAUGCUGGGGGAUAACCUCGGGAAACUGAGAAUAAUACCCCAUAGUUCACCACGCCUGGAACGGUGGGUGGACCAAAGCUCCGGCGGCAUAGGAUGGGCCUGCGGCGUAUCAGGUUGUAGGGGGUGUAAUGUACCCUCUAGCCCUCUACGCGUACGGGUGUUGAGAGACAUCGCCCGGAGAUGGAUUCUGAGACACGAAUCCAGACCCUACGGGGUGCAGCAGGCGCGAAAACUUGGCAAUGCGAGAAAUCGUGACCAGGGAACUCCAAGUGCAUCGGGUAAGACCGAUGCUUUUCUUGACUCUUCAAAGGUCUUGGAAUAAGGGGUGGGUAAGGACGGUGCCAGCCGCCGCGGUAAUACCGGCGCCCCAAGUGGUAGUCGCUUUUAUUGGGCCUAAAACGUCCGUAGCCGGUCUGGUACAUUCGUGGGUAAAUCAACCAGCUCAACUGGUUGAAUUCUGCGAGCACGGCCAGACUUGGGACCGGGAGAGGUGUGGGGUACUCUCAGGGUAGGGGUAAAAUCCUGUCAUCCUGAGAGGACCACCUGUUGCGAAGGCGCCACACUAGAACGGAUCCGACGGUCAGGGACGAAGCCUAGGGGCACGAACCGGAUUAGAUACCCGGGUAGUCCUAGGUGUAAACGCUGUGGACUUGAUGUUGGGGGCGCUCCGAGCGCACUCAGUGUCGAAGCGAAGGUGAUAAGUCCACUGCCUGGGGAGUACGGUCGCAAGGCUGAAACUUAAAGGAAUUGGCGGGGGAGCACCGCAACCUGAGGAUUGUGCGGUUUAAUUGGAUUCAACGCCGG
rnacentral:rRNA from 1 species